rnacentral:lncRNA from 1 species
ACCACUUUGUGUGUCCAAGGACCACCUACUUUUUACAUGUGACAAGAACUACCCACCUCCACUCUUCAGGAUAGAACAUGCUGAAGAAAAGAGUUGCAAUGAGAAAAUAUAUGGGAACAAAAUACCUAUGCAAUGCAGAAGUCUGCAUAACUGAACCACUCAGAGGAAAAAGACAGUUUCCCUCCCAGGCUGGAGUACAAUGGCGCGACCUCGGCUCACUGCAACUUCCACCUCCCAGUUCAAGCAAUUCUCCCACCUCAGCUUCCUUAGUAGCUGGGAUUACAAGUGCCUGACACCAGGCCAAGCUAUUUUUGUAUUUUUAGUAGAGACGGGGUUUCACCAUUUUGACCAGGCUGGUCUCAAACUCCUGACCUCAGUCCAUCGGUCCACCUCGGCCUCCCAAAGUGCUGGGAUUGCAGGCAUGAGCCACCGCUCCUGGCCUCAAGUUUAAUUCUUAAAAUCAAUGAGACAAUAAUUAUAAGACACGAGCAUACAAUAAGCCAAUUCUUGAGAAGUGGAUUUUAUUCUUCUUCAGUCAAUAUGGAAUCAGGAUGAUUGACAGUGUAUUGAAAUUUCAUUUUUAUGACACUUUUAAAACUGUCAUUUCUGGAAUAGUAGAGUUAAAGAUCUGCAAUAAAAUAAAAAACUACUG